GGUAACCCGCUCAGGUCGCCUUCAGUGCUGUGUAAGCUGUUGUUUUGCUCUUCGCAAUGAAUCUUGUUGCUGUUCACUUUUUGGGGAUGUGCUGCCUUUAUGAGCUGUAACACUCAGAAGGUCUGCAGCCUUGCUUUUGAGGCCAGCGAGGCCACGAACCCACAGGAAGGAACUAACAACUCCAGAUGCGCCGCCUUUAAGAGCUAUAACACACACCACCAAUGUCCGCAGCUUCACUCCUGAAGUCAGCCGGACCACGAACCCACCCGUAAGAAGAAACUCCGGACACACUAUGUUUUAGAACUUUAACACUCACUGCUGGAGUCUGUGGCUUCAUUCUUGAAGUCAGUGAGACCAAGAACCCACCAAUUCCGAACACAUGUGGGAUUACGGGGAUGAGGAAACGGGCACAGUCAUGUGUGUUCAAAGGAAGUGACUGAGUAAGGAAGCAAAUUCAGAGUGUCACUCUGUCACCCAGGCUGGAGUGCAGUGGCACAAUCUCGGCUUGCUGCAACCUCCACCUCCUGGGUUCAAGCAAUUCUCCUGCCUCAGCCUCCUGAGUAGCUGGGACUGCAGGCAUGCACCACCACGCCCAGCUAAGAAAACUCAUUUUCUUAAUGCCAUUCUCCUGGCUUCACCCCCAAGCCCCAUCUCAAAUCCUUAUCCCAUUUCCAAGAUCUGCUUCCUGAUCUUUAGGCUCUUCCAACAGUCUGGUAAGGUCAGAAUGUGGAUAUUCUCAGAAAUGUGAAGGAAGGAUUAACGUUCGUGUGGAUUCUGUCAAUAGCUAUCACGGCCCUCUGUUUAAGUCUGUGCGGUCUGGCUUCCAUCCCUCUACUCUGAGGAUCCUGCUUAUGACCAAGGACUCCCAAUGAUCAAAUCCAGCCAACUGAGUUAAGCCUCAACCUCAUGUGAAUCUAUAGAAAUCUGCAUAGCCAGUUACCACUUCUGAACUGUUUUGACUCAAUUCAAUUCCAACAUGAAGUCACCAAAUGUUAGCACAGACUCUGCAGGUUAAGGGCUCAGCUCCACAAAACUGUCCCCACUUCAGACUUCUGUCCCAAGUCCCAGGUUGCCACAUGUAUGUAUAACCAGCUGGCUAUAAAUUAUGGGGAGGGGUUCCCAUAUUCCCCUCCACAGGUUUGAUAAUUUGUUAGAAACACUCACAAAACCCAGGAAAACAGUUGGCCAUUUUAUUAUAAGAGAUAGGAGUUUUCAAUCCUUGGAGUAAUAAUGUGUGACUGAUGUUUCCUUGUUUGUCAUUUCUAGCAAUUUCCAAAUCCUAUAAUUCUGUACUAAAAGUAUCUCUUUCAACUCCCAUUAGGAUUUAUUCCUUCCCACUUAUAUGUGGUUACGGAGGCUGUCCUUAUUAAAGAAUGCAAAUGAACAGCCAGGUGAAGAGGCCCAGAAUGGUUCCCAAUGCAGGAGCUUCUGUUCCAUGGAAUUGGGGGUGUGCUACCUCCCAGCACAUGGACCAAAUUUAAGUGUGCAUCAACCUGGCUGUUCCCCAAAACCCAUCAUUUAGAGUUGUUUAUGGAGGUUUUCAGUUAUGGAGGAACGAUUUAUUAAAUCAGGCCAUUAUUGAUUAAUUCAAUCUUUAGCUCCCUCUCCUCUCCCUGGAGUCAGGGGAGGGGCUGAAGUUUCUAACCCUCUAUUCAUGCUUUAGCUUUUCCAGUGACCAGAACCCAUCCUAUCUGGGGGACCACAGCCACCAGUCAUCUCAUUAGCAUACAAAAGAGACAACUCCUGAGAUUUCAAGGGUUUUAGAAGCUGAGUGCCAGAAACUGGUGACAAAGACCAAAUACAUAUGUAUCACACCAUCUUUUCUUGAAACUGUCUUCCUUGGACUUUCUCAAUUCCAGUUCUCCUGGUAUUUCUACUGCUACGAAUUGUUCCUUCAUUAUUCAUUUUGUUGCCUUGUUCUUCCUUUCCUUUUUUCUUAAACUUGGGUCUUUCCCACUGCUUUGGCAUGUAUAACACUGCCAAAGCCCUUAGCCAUUAUCUCCAUAUAGAUAAAUCACACAUCGUGAUAAUUAGUCUCAGUAGUUCUGAAUAGCUCAUUCUUAUUUCCCACUUCCUUUUUGUUGCCAAUGUGUAUCCUUUAUAAAGUUUCAAUAUCUGCUUGCGGUACAAUUUUCCUAUUUAUUCAAAUUCAAUUGGAGUAAUAAUGCUUGACUGCUCUUCCCUUGUAUUAAUUUCCAACAAGUAUCAAAUCCUAUAGAUUCUGUAUUAAAAGUAUUUCUUUCAUCUGUCCAUUAGGAUUUAUUCCUUCCCACUUACAUGCCAUCAUCAUGAAGGGAGCUUUUAUUAUCAUGGCUCAGUGACUGCCAUGUCUCCUGACUGUUUCACCUAUUGAGCCGCCUCUUCCAAACUACCAGCUUACGGCUUCAGUCUUCUAUGAUUCCCAUUGGUCACCUUCUAUAUUAAAAAUGAGAACAACUUAAGAAAUUAGGUCCUAAAAUAAAUUUCCCAGCAUAUGCAUUCCUUCCAUAAUAACUAUUACUUAUUUAGCAUAUACUAUGUGCCAAAAACAUCAUUAGCCAUGUUACUGAUAGACAGGAGACAGCCAAGGUCCCCGGCAAAACCCCACCUUUAAGCCUAAAGCAGCCUGAAGGCUGAAAAGCCGGACUGCAGGUCCUGGAUGAAGCCAGGCUUUUCCCGACUGAUUGUUUCUGAAUGGUGCCCAUCUGCGCACUGGGAGGACGGGGUGGAGCCUUGGGAAGUUCCCGCCAUUUGCAAGGGGGAGGAACCUGGCCUCUCCUGUUCCUGUGUGGUGACCUGGGAUUCAAUCUGUGAGGCGGGAAACCUGCUAGCAGUACUCUCUCUCUCACUUUGCUGAGAGUUAUUUUUCCUUUUUUCUUUUCGCCCAAUAAACCCUGCUCUACUCACCCUCC